rnacentral:lncRNA from 1 species
AGAAAAUUAAAUGCCACCGCCCUCUUCGCGGCCAGGGGAGCGGCGCUGGAGGGGGCGGCGGGGCCGGGGCGUCCCCGGGAAGGGGGAGCCCCUGAGCGAAUUUGCGCACGCUCCUGUCAUUUGUUAGUUGAUUCCGUGGAAAAGUUUGCUAUUUAUAGGUUACACGCGGCCGCCGGGUCCUCGCGCCCGCUUCCCCCGGGCAGAGGAGAGCGGCCUGUCGCGGUGGCGUCCCGAGGUUUGAUUUGUUUUGUUUCUGCCCUCGCGUGCGCAGUGGGCACCCGGCGAAAAGACGGCGGGGAGCCCCGAAACCAGCCCUCGCCGGAGCGGGAAGAGCGAGCGCCUCGCACGCGACCCCAGCUGACAACUGAUUGGUUCAUCAAUGAGCAAUAUUAAAUAAUGAAGAUGUAAGGGAAGAGUCCUCUGCUAACAUUGUCACAGCUUGAAAGGUAAGGUGUUCCCUACACAGCCAGGAGGCAGUAAUGUUCCUUAGAAACCCAUCUAGCACUAUGUCAUGUGAUAGAAGGUGGUUAAAUCCCCCCUUGACAUCUUUAUCCUCUGUCACUGCGACCUUGGCGAGUCUUUCUUUAGUAAGGAAAAUGAAGAACUUCUGAUGUUUCC